UGUGGUAUGUUACUGGUGAGAACCAUGGCGACUGCCGUUCUUAUACUGUCUUCAACAAAUGAAUAGAAAGAACAAAGUGAAUUAGAAUGAUUUUUUGGAGUAAUAGAAGUAAGAACUUUAAUAUCAAUUUAAAUAUCUUUAUGUAUACCAGAAGUUUCUUAAUGGUUUUCUUCAUUUUUACUCGAAUCAGAUGUGUCAUGUCAAUCAAAACAGUGGCAAAAUCGUCUGCAAUUGAUAUUUAACAGCGCACGGUGCAGAACAUACAUUUGAUGUCAUUUAUUUGGACAAUGGCAUGCAAUGGUACGACACUCCUCAUGUGGAAUGAAUGUCCUUUGAGCUCCAACCAUAAAGUAUUAUGUGUAGAAGAUAUCUGGAUGGCCAUAAAGGAACAAUACCAAUGUGAUACCGGUCAGUUGAUUCAGGACCCUUAUUGAUGGCAUGAUUUUGAACCAGAAACAUCAUCGUAAAUACGCCUUUCUCGGUUCUACACAAACGCCUUUAGACGCCAAUUCUGCUUGAUGAGGGGAGGAUGUUCUCAGAAGAUGAGUUCGAAGUAUUUGGAAUUCAAGGGCGUGAUGCUGACCUUUUUGACCGAGGUGAUCACGACACAACAGACACCAUCUGGAGCAUUUAUUGAGUACAUAAGAGAAUUCAGAGCUUUUUACAAAAAUGGACUAAUGGAUCUAAUUAUAAUUUCGCAAAUGUAUAUUUAGUACAAAAAUUUAUCAAUACAUAAACUGUCUGCAUAGUGGAAAAGUAAUUACGAAUGUAAUCGCCAUUAUUAGAAGUUAUCAAUACAUCUCGGAAAUGUUUCAUUUUUGAAUUUUAAGAACAAGAUAGUGAAUAUUUUUGUUUUACAAGAAUUUUUUUUGAACUUGACAAAAUUUGAAGUGCUUGUAAU